UACGGAGGGAGCUAGCGUUGUUCGGAAUUACUGGGCGUAAAGCGCGUGUAGGCGGCUUGGCAAGUUGGAUGUGAAAGCCCACGGCUCAACCGUGGAAGCGCAUCCAAAACUGCUUCGCUCGAGUCUCGGAGAGGAAGGUGGAAUGCUUGGUGUAGAGGUGAAAUUCGUAGAUAUCAAGCAGAACACCUGCGGCGAAGGCGGCCUUCUGGACGAUGACUGACGCUGAGACGCGAAAGCGUGGGGAGCAAACAGG
rnacentral:rRNA from 1 species